GCCUUCAGUGAGGGAGUCAAGUUUUUCAGAGUUUGGAUUGGGAAGCCCUGGAGCAGACUGAUGGGACCUCUCAUGUGCUCCCAAGCCAUGGACAUCUUGAUUGUGUGACUGUUUCCUAACACAGCUCUCAAGGACAUUGCAUAUUCUGCUUUGGAAAGCAGCAGCUUGAGAGACCUUCUCAAGUGUCUCCAUGACUGCAUUGUUAAUGGAAGAUGCAAAGGGAAUGUGGUAGCCCCUUCUUCAAUCUGGCAUCUUCUCAUUUCGAGGUUUGAUUUUACACUUCCCUUUGAGAAAGAAGCCCUGGAAUGUCCCUCUGUAGGACCUCUGAAGGCCACAGAAGACAGGGAGGAGGAGGAGGAGGAAGAGAAGAAGGAGAAGGAGGAAGAAGGUGAUAAGCAAAUUAAGACUGAUUCCCCAAAGAUGUGCUCUGAAGAGUCUUCCUCUUGGAUAGUUCCAGAGAGUCCUCCUACUGAACGUCUCCUUUCUCGAGGAAGGCAGUCUUGUUCUCCGUCCAUGCUAUCUGGCCUGAAGAAGGGAAAGGGGCCGGAAGGCAAAGGAAGAAGGUCACCUGGCAGGUGAGCCUCAUGGACAAAUGGAGGAGGGUGACCCUGUGUUCUUUGAUUUCUUGAAUGAGUUGUUCCCUUUGUAUGCAGUGUUGGUAUUGUCUCUGAAGGAUUGUUCAGGUUUGUCAUGGUGACUGAUAUUUGUGUGAAGAAUUACUCCAGGAACUGAGGAAAUGUUUCUCCUUCCUUUUUGAUGUCUAUGAACCUCCUCUCAUUUCAGUGUAAAAGAUGCCGCUUUUCAAAGAAAAAUGAAAUUCAGAACAUCUUCCCCCAGCAAGACAGAGCAGUGUCUGUGUUCACUGUUUUCUACCUUGCAUUCAGUCAGCUGGAGGACUCUGAUUUAAUUCCAAAUCUGGCGGUCAGGGCAGAUUGUCUGGCACAGGAGGAGUGCCAGAGAGAGCUAAUCGCCAGCUUUGCUUUUCUCCCUCAAACACUUCCUCCUUCUCCUGCACUGGCUGCCCCCAAAACACAGCCUUUAGUGUGUGACCACCACAGUGCAGUUCGCAGGAGGAGGGUCAUGGUCCCUCCAGGCUGUGGUUAUUGCAAAAGUCACUGCUGUUCUCAUCGUUCCCUCAAGAUGGGGACCACGUGUGGGUGUUACAGCUCAUGUGAGUGCUACAACUCAAGGUUUUCUUCCUCCACUGUUGACACGAAACCAAGUAGCCAAAUACACCCAAACCUCCCUCAGAACCGACGUCUGCUGCAGAGGCUGGCACUGAGCUACUCGUGAGCACAAGGUGAAGAACAGCCUCAUCCCGUACCCAUAUCAGCUCACCCUCUUGGCUAUUUUCAGCUUUCUGCCAAGAAUUCAGGAGAGCUUCUUGGUGGUGGAAAAGGACGGCAAGCACAAGCAAACUCUCAGUGUCAGACCUCAAACCGCACUUCCUGUUUUCAGAAAUGAAAAGAGGAUGUCUCCAUCACACCAGGAAACCAGUCCUCAGGUUAGGGUUUGGAUCAGCUCCGGCAGGGGCUGAAAUGGGAUAUGGGUGGAGGUCCCAGGGGAUGCUGGACAGGGUCAUUGAGGGCUCUUGGUGCCCUCAGGGCCUCCAACUCCUCCAACCAAGCCAUCUUCGUGGUUCAUGUGCUCUGACCUGCUGGAGGAUUUAAUCUCACAGUUCCUGCUCUGAAAAACUGCCAUUCCCUCCCCUCAUUUACCUCGUCAUGAGUGAGGUCAGCAUAAGAGUGUGGGGCCAGUAGGGAACAGAUGUCCCCCCCAACCCUGAGGGCUGUGCUGGGGUGAUUCUCCUGGUUCCUCUGCUACAGCUGCAGGUCCCUGCCCAGGGCAGUUUGUCUCAUAGGAGUUUCUGAGGGUGGAGCAGAACAUGCUGGAGGGCUGCACAGACCCUGUAGCCACUGGCAUCUCCACUGCUGAAUGUUCAGAGCACCUGAGGGAGGUGAGAAGCCUCCUAAAAAUCAUCCUCAGGCACCAAUGCAGGCUAGGUGGUCUCAUGAAACAUUGACAGAGAUUUGGCCAUGCUCCCCACUGCCAUCGAUUGGGAAAGAGGAGAGGACUGCUCCCUUCCUACACAGAGCCAUGGUGAAGAAGAAGCUGGAGAGUCUGCAGGGGCUACACAAACUGAACAUGUUCACCAACCUCAGCCCAGGAAACUUGAGCAGAAGCAGCUGUCCGAGGCAUGAAGGACUCCAGCUCCAGAGCUCUGGGGCUGGCCAGCUUUCUGUGCGAGCAAACUACACCCUGCAACUCUUGGAGACUUACCACAGGCAUUGGGAAGAGUGGAGCAGGAGAGCAGAGCUGAAUCAGCAGAGGAAUUACAAAGAGACUCAGUUAUUCUGGUAAAACUCUCCAGCUAUGGAUGGUGUCUCCCCAUCCCCUGCAGUGCCCUUCCCUCCACAACCAGGAGCACCCAGAGGAAGGGUGCUGGCACCCUCGUGGAAGGGCAGCAGGCUUGGGAGGUUGGCAUCUGGGAUGAGGCACCCUGCCAUCCAUGGGCCAGCUGUUGGACCCUGUAGGAUUUCUGGAUAAGACCAGAAAGUUGUGGGUGGCCAAAGAGUGAAGGAUUCCUCUGGUGCUUUCUAACUAGACACCGAGACACCUUGCCCUGUGGGUCAAUGCUUAUUUGGUCCAAAGUCUUUUCUUUUGCCCGACCCAUCGCCAGGCUGACUGCCUGCACAUGGGACCUUGUCAUUGCCUCAGACGCGAGGUCCUGUGUCCCAUCAUAGAAAGUAUGGAAACGUCAGAGGAAGCAGAUCCCAUAAUAUCCAGCCUGAACUAAGCCCAUAGCAUUUCUGUGCCUUCCUUCCCGUGCAAUAAAACCAAACCGUUCCUCCUUAAUGCCACAGCAUUGGGCAGCAGAUGACUCUCUGGGAUCCAAGGGAAAGGUAUCUGGACUUCUGGCAGAACAGAGGACAUGUGAAUAUGAUGGGAAAGUCUGUAAACAUGGUCCUGAGCCCUCCCAGGGAUGGGAGGCCCCCCCAUCUCUGUCUCUUCUAUAUUCCUAUUAAAUCCAGUCUCCACCUC